AUUUAUGAGAGACAGUAGAUCUAAAUCUGUAAUGAAAUAAUCUACUGUGCUACUGCCAAGAGCGAUCUCUCUGACGGUCUGUUGGUGUUUCAGGAGGAGCAGAAGUUGAAGCUGCCAAGGAGAGACGGUCAGGAGUCUGUGAGGACCAUUCAGCUCAGAGACUCAGCCACUGCUCAGAAGCUGCAGGCGGCCAUAUCAGAUGCUCAGGUGGCGCAGCAGCAGCACCGUAUGGUGAGACAGAAGUCGCAGCGCUUCCUCAAACUGAACAACAACCAGUGAGGUCACUUCCUGUCAGCACUCCUGCUGGUUUAUAUCUUACACUGCAUCUUAAAUGUGGGACUGUUCCUUUAAGAGACAACACUGCUGAUCUGUCACAUGAUUCACCUGGGCCAUCACAGCUCACCUGAAAUACUGAGGUUUUAUUUAAACUCAGUUUAGGCUUUAUUUUAUUUUAUUUUAAUUCAAAUUAAUCACCACAGUUCAAAUUCUGCUGUAUUAUUUGAUUAAUUUAGGUACACGCUUCAGUGUUAUUACACAUAAACUUGCAGAUAUUUUUAUGAGAGAACGAUGGAGAAACAAAAACUGGUUCAUGUUCUGUGUUUCUCCCCUGAAAUAUUGAAAUGUGUUGUGGGUUUGAUUCCCACCGGAGGCUCUUAUUUUGAAGUCGUGUACCCUUCAGCACAUGGCUGCUGGAGCCAUGAGGUUGUUGUUUGAACUUCAGCUCGGUCAGCAGGACCUACUCUGAAAACAUCAAUGACUUCUGUCGCUAAAGAAUGAAAGUCGAACAUCAGCUGUUAAAUUAAUGUUGAAUCUGAUAACAGAGCUGCAGCUAAAAAUGUACCAAAGCUCAGUGAUUUCUCAUUAUCUGUCGAAAACCUCCUGAUGAAUAUAAAUGUGGUGGUCUCUUGAGUUAUUCUGAAGGUUUAUAUUUUAGUCUUCAGUUUCAGGAUGCUGGGUAUUUUCGUCCCUGCUGUUUGCCUGAAGGUUGCACUGUCGCAUUUUGAAUAUGAAGCCAUAAAAUCAUGUUGCACUAAACAAAUAUUUUACAAUAAUCAGUUUGUUGAUGGUAUGAAUGUUUCAUGUUGUUCAACUUUAAAGAAACAAACACAUGAAGAUCUGAAAAUAGUAAUCCAACAAGUUAAUUACAUCUUAUAAACUCAGAAGAGAAUAAAAUAAAAGUCUGAGAUUACUCAGAAUUCCAAUUUGAAUUGACUGUGUAAUCCAUAAAUUCCCAAAUUCAUGAUUCAGUUUGAUUCAUCUUAGUUCAAGUUUUUUAUGUUUAAAAAUUAAAGAACAAUAAAAUUCCUUCUUUUUCUUUCACUGAUCAAUAAAUCAGUGAGUUUCACAUCGUCCUGUGUUUACUGUUUGAAGAACAGUUUACUUGUGAACUUUAAAUCAGUUUGAUUGCUGAGUGAGAUGAGGAAAUAUUUGUAUUAUCUUUGCUGUAACCAAGUGUUGGUCUUCAUGUUGAUUUGUGAGAAGUUGAACUUUAAGUUUGAAGUAAAAAGAAAACGUUCUGUAACCUGAAUCAUGUAAAGAUGUAAUAACGUCUGCUGGACUGUUUGUUUAAGAGUGGACUUUGUGAUCAGAGUGAGACAUCACCUGCUGUAUUCACAAAACAUCUUUGGAAUAAACCAUCAUCUCUGCUGUUA